UACGAAGGGGGCUAGCGUUGCUCGGAAUCACUGGGCGUAAAGGGUGCGUAGGCGGGUUCUUAAGUCAGAGGUGAAAUCCUGGAGCUCAACUCCAGAACUGCCUUUGAUACUGAGAGUCUUGAGUUCGGGAGAGGUGAGUGGAACUGCGAGUGUAGAGGUGAAAUUCGUAGAUAUUCGCAAGAACACCAGUGGCGAAGGCGGCUCACUGGCCAGAUACUGACGCUGAGGCACGAAAGCGUGGGGAGCAAACAGG
rnacentral:rRNA from 1 species